rnacentral:tRNA from 1 species
GGCUCCAUAGUGUAGUAGUUAGCACAUCUGCUUUACACGCAGAAGGUCCUGGGUCCAUCCCCCAGAUGGAGCCA